UACGUAGGGUGCGAGCGUUAAUCGGAAUUACUGGGCGUAAAGCGUGCGCAGGCGGCGACAUAAGACAGAUGUGAAAUCCCCGGGCUCAACCUGGGAACUGCGUUUGUGACUGUGUUGCUAGAGUGUAGCAGAGGGGGGUGGAAUUCCACGUGUAGCAGUGAAAUGCGUAGAUAUGUGGAGGAACACCGAUGGCGAAGGCAGCCCCCUGGGUUAACACGGACGCGCAUGCAAGAAAGCGGGGGGAGCAAACAGGCUGCGAUAACACUGGAGUCC
rnacentral:rRNA from 1 species